GCGAGUGAACCCAACUUCUUGCGCUCUUCUUGUGAAUCCUUUUACUUUAUUAAGAAAAUCUUUAGUAUUAUUAUUAAUUUAAAAAAAUCUUCAGUAGUGCUAAAGCGUUUUGAUGGGACUGAUCACUUGGCAACUGGAUUUGUUUUUCUGUGCUUUAUUGAUGAUGUUUAAUGAAAAACUUGGAGUGUGCUUGAGUGCUGUGUGACUCCCCGCAGGGUGUGCUGCUCUCAGGCACGGAGUGACUUUCUGAAGGCAGCGCAGAGCAGAAACCCCCCCACCGGAGACGUGUUUACUGCGUCUCACCGGAAGCCUCCUCUCCUUAACUGGGGUAUUUUCUCUCUCCGUCAGAGUUGUAGAGCGUGUACGUGCUCCAGGUCACAUGUGCACCAUCUCCACUCACCAGUGAAGUAUUUCAUCAUCCUAGUGAUGUUUGCAUGUCAAUCUACUCCGCUGUAGUACAGUAAUAUGGCUGAAUAUACAGUAUAAUCUUGAUUGAUAGCAUAAAAAAAAAAUCUGUUUUAUUGCGUUUAGUCUUUCUAGAACAAUAGGAUAUUAGAUGCUUUGCCCCAAUACAGUGUAAAGUCUAGUUGCAGUCAGUGAAACACCAUGAAGGCGAAAGGAAUGUGUUGGGCGCUUUGGCGUGAAACUGGCCCGUGACCGGAUCAGGAUGGCAACACAGGUAGCGGAAGAAGAUAAGGAAAUGAAUUUAAAUGAUUGGACUCGAUACCAUACUCCGUUCCAAUAGGUGGUGGUAAUGCACCUUUGGACAACCGCCAUAAAACAGCAAAAGAAUUAGAAGAAGCCUAGUUGCAACCUCUAUAUAUAUAUAUAUAUAUAUAUAUAUAGAGAGAGAGAGAGAGAUUUUUGGGAGACGCCCUUAUCCAGAACAACUGGAUGAUGAGUGAUUUUUCUCUUAUUAUACAUCUGAGCAGUUGAGGGUUAAGGGUCUUGCUCAAGGGACAACUUAGUGGUCGUGGGAUUUGAACCUGGGCCCGUAGACCAAUACCUUACUACAGUAGCCGAGCCAUACCUUACUUCAGAAGUUUAGUCUAUACACAGAUCAUCCUUAACCUGCCACCUCUCUAAUAUCAUAUAGAUCCCCACCUUCUGCUCCUAAAACAGCUCUGAUUCAUUGAGUCAUGUGCUUCACAAGACCUCUGAAGAUGUGUUUUGGUAUCUAGCACCGACAUUAAGCUGUGAGGUGUGGCCUCCAUGGUAAUAGAUGACUUGUUUGUCAGCACAUUCCACAGAUGUUUAGUCAGAUUUCGAUUUAGAAAAUUUAU